CACAUUAGAAUACACAUUUACUUCAUUAAUCUAACAUGCAAAAACUGUCUGACAAUAGUCACAAUAUCAUAUAAUAUUAUCACACGAUGCAGAGGUAAUUGUUGUGUAUUAUAAUAUACGAAACCAUAGUUGGCAGCACCUGCCACAUGUAGCCAGCUGCCACAUGUGGGAAAGAAAUUGAUUAUAUGAAAAUGGAUAGCUAGUGGGUUAGCGAUAUGUCAGCUUACCAAAGCUCUCUUUUAGUGUCCAUGUAGGAUACAUGAUUGUUGUAAGGUGUUCGUUUGGCUUCAGUCCUCUCCUCUUGACAGCUUCUUUCCCUCCACGCCUCUGUGAUGCUGUGAGCACGCCAGAUAAUAAUCAUUCAGCCCUCGCAAUCACAGACCUCUAGCUGUUCUAGCUACAGAUUGUACGCCAGAUAUGUGAUAACUAUGUUUCCAUUACUGGGCGUUACAGGUUAGCUUAUACAAAAUGCUCCCGAAUUUAUUUUCCAAUCGUUUCGAUCGUUCCGACCAGCAAAAUAAAGUUCUGAACCGGUUCAAAACCCCCCCAAAAACCCAUAUUAUAUCAUACCUUUCAGUUCCAUUUUUAACCUGUGAAAUCAACAUUCUGUUUACAUUUAGCUCAUUAAAUUACUCCACCAAUCAGUGUGGAGCAGCUUGCUAUAGACCGGGCAAGCUAGUUGUUUACAUGCUUGAUGGACAAACAAGUGUAGGGCGCAAGAUGCGACUGAAAUGUUGCUGGUGGGGAGAGAGAGGGACAAACGAGUGUAGUAACGGAUAUGGGCAAUUAUGAUCUUGGUAUUUAUUUUGUAAUUAUCCAUGAUCGGAAACAAAGUUAUUUUCAGGUGCCAGCAAGCAUCUUUCUCAUGUCAGUCAGUCAGUUUCUAAACCAUACUGUCCUGCCUUUGAGUCAGUCAUGUGCAUUGUCUAAAUGACUAGUUUCACUAUCUGUAAAGAGAAGGGUGAGCUGUACGUUGAUCCUACUGCUCUGAUUGGAUAGAGUGAAGCUGUUUCACCCGAUCACUUUUCCUCGCAUGUUUUCGGUAGAUUGCUGCUGCUGCCUAUUACUAUGAUAAAUCACAUGGCGAGGACGUUUGCUAUUAAGCUAUCAAUGUGCAUAAUAUCUAACAAGUGGGACAAGGGUAGGGAAUGGUGUUUUUUUUUUUUUUACGCAAAUGCGCAUUCUGACUGAGUGACAGCAAACUUGGCUGCCAGCUGCAAAUUGAGGACACAGACACCACUCCGCGUGGUGCUCCUAAUCUGCAGAUUUUUUUUGCAGUGAGAACGUGCAGGGAGGUAUUUUGCCAACAUCUAUUCAGGCAUAUUAAAACACUUCUGUUUUUUCCGAUCAUGAGUAUCAUUCGAUCCGACUGUUAACUGUCGAUUUACAGAUACGAUUACGAAUAAGAGUAUGGCCAUGUAUGCACACCCCUAGUAGACAUUGAGGAGGUUUGGCUUGAAGAGCUUAGCAUCAUGAUAUGACGUGCAUUAUGUGUUUAGGAUAUUAGUAGUAGGCCUAUCAUUCCUACUUCACUGUAUUACAUAAUUAUAUACUAGGUAGUUGCCUAUUGAGGAGUGGCUAAUAUGGGGGAACUUUGAACGUCCAAAUGUUGGCUCAACGCCCUGGACCAGAGCUAAUAACAAGCUUGUGUGUGCAGUGGCACCAGAAUUCAAAACACCUCUUACCUUUUUGUUGUUAAUAAAUCGGAUGUGAAAUGUAAUAACUAAUUGUGUCAUUAACUAGACUAGUGUAGUGUCUUAGAGUCUGUGAUUGUGCUGACAUUUGCAAAUGGUGUAACAGAUGAACUUUACUCUGCUUGCUGAAACAUCUGGAAAGCAUUACUAAAUUCCUGGAAAAAAGGAUAUGGGAAGAUAUGUAGGAAAGCCAGGGAUUGGGUAUUAAAAUCAUGCCAUACUAUGUCAUAUAGGAUAUAAAUACCAUGUCUUGAACAAGGGGGAGAUAGAAUAGCGAAUUACAGAAUUGGCUCCUGCUGUUCUUCAGAUAUCUGCAGGUAUCUGUAAAUCUGACGCUGAAACUCUUUGUUAUAAUAAACCUUUAUAAACAAAGUACAGUGUCGGCGGACUUCUUAUCAUCAAGGCAUUAUCAGCAAAGUUUGUUUUGGACACCACAUUAAUGGCGACGAGGUUGUUGUUUUUUGGGACGUGAUACGUCUUUUCUCUGCAUUCCAUUCCUGGGCUACAAAGUGACUCCCGCUCAAGAAGCCGGCAGAUAAGAGACGAGAAGGAGGAGACAGAGAGAGAGGGAGAGAGGAGGUGCUGACCAGUACAUCAGCGACAACAACCCAGUCCAAUCAAGGC